rnacentral:rRNA from 1 species
GUCUACGGCCAUGUCACCUUGAACAAGCCCGAUGUCUGAUCUCGGAAGCUAAGCAGGGUCGGGCCUGGUUAGUACUUGGAUGGGAGACCACCUAGGACAACCAGGUGCUGUAGGCA